rnacentral:rRNA from 1 species
UACGGAAGGCAGCAGUGGGGAAUAUUGCACAAUGGGCGAAAGCCUGAUGCAGCUAUGCCGCGUGUAUGAAGAAGGCCUUAGGGUUGUAAAGUACUUUCAUCGGGGAGGAAAAACAAAACUAAUAAUUUUAUUUCUUGACGUUACCCGAAAAAGAAGCACCGGCUAACUCCGUGCCAGCAGCCGCGGUAAUACGGAGGGUGCUAGCGUUAAUCAGAAUUACUGGGCGUAAAGAGCACGUAGGUGGUUUUUUUAAAGUCAGAUGUGAAAUCCCUGGGCUUAACCUGGAACUGCAUUUUGAAACUGAAAUACUAGAGUAUCGUAGAGGGAGGUAGAAUUCUAGGUGUAGCGGUGAAAUGCGUAGAUAUCUGGAGGAAUACCUGUGGCGAAAGCGGCCUCCUAAACGAAUACUGACACUGAGGUGCGAAAGCGUGGGGAGCAAACAGGGAUUAAUACC